GUACUUGCCUCGGCAGUACAUAUACUAAAAUUGAAACGAUACAGAAGAUUCGCAUGAAUCCUGCACAAGCAAAACACACAAAAUCAUAAAGCAUUUCACAUUUUU